rnacentral:rRNA from 1 species
AGAGUUUGAUCCUGGCUCAGAUUGAACGCUGGCGGCAUGCCUUACACAUGCAAGUCGAACGGCAGCGCGGGGCAACCUGGCGGCGAGUGGCGAACGGGUGAGUAAUAUAUCGGAACGUACCCUGGAGUGGGGGAUAACGUAGCGAAAGUUACGCUAAUACCGCAUACGAUCUAAGGAUGAAAGUGGGGGAUUCGCAAGAACCUCAUGCUCCUGGAGCGGCCGAUAUCUGAUUAGCUAGUUGGUAGGGUAAAAGCCUACCAAGGCAUCGAUCAGUAGCUGGUCUGAGAGGACGACCAGCCACACUGGAACUGAGACACGGUCCAGACUCCUACGGGAGGCAGCAGUGGGGAAUUUUGGACAAUGGGCGCAAGCCUGAUCCAGCAAUGCCGCGUGAGUGAAGAAGGCCUUCGGGUUGUAAAGCUCUUUUGUCAGGGAAGAAACGGGUCUUUCUAAUACAGAGGUCUAAUGACGGUACCUGAAGAAUAAGCGCCGGCUAACUACGUGCCAGCAGCCGCGGUAAUACGUAGGGUGCAAGCGUUAAUCGGAAUUACUGGGCGUAAAGCGUGCGCAGGCGGUUUUGUAAGACUGUCGUGAAAUCCCCGGGCUCAACCUGGGAAUGGCGAUGGUGACUGCAAGGCUAGAGUUUGGCAGAGGGGGGUAGAAUUCCACGUGUAGCAGUGAAAUGCGUAGAUAUGUGGAGGAACACCGAUGGCGAAGGCAGCCCCCUGGGUCAAAACUGACGCUCAUGCACGAAAGCGUGGGGAGCAAACAGGAUUAGAUACCCUGGUAGUCCACGCCCUAAACGAUGUCUACUAGUUGUCGGGUUUUAAUUAACUUGGUAACGCAGCUAACGCGUGAAGUAGACCGCCUGGGGAGUACGGUCGCAAGAUUAAAACUCAAAGGAAUUGACGGGGACCCGCACAAGCGGUGGAUGAUGUGGAUUAAUUCGAUGCAACGCGAAAAACCUUACCUACCCUUGACAUGGCAGAAAUCCUCGAGAGAAUGAGGAGUGCUCGAAAGAGAAUCUGCACACAGGUGCUGCAUGGCUGUCGUCAGCUCGUGUCGUGAGAUGUUGGGUUAAGUCCCGCAACGAGCGCAACCCUUGUCAUUAGUUGCUACGAAAGAGCACUCUAAUGAGACUGCCGGUGACAAACCGGAGGAAGGUGGGGAUGACGUCAAGUCCUCAUGGCCCUUAUGGGUAGGGCUUCACACGUCAUACAAUGGUACAUACAGAGGGCCGCCAACCCGCGAGGGGGAGCUAAUCCCAGAAAGUGUAUCGUAGUCCGGAUUGUAGUCUGCAACUCGACUGCAUGAAGUUGGAAUCGCUAGUAAUCGCGGAUCAGCAUGUCGCGGUGAAUACGUUCCCGGGUCUUGUACACACCGCCCGUCACACCAUGGGAGCGGGUUUUACCAGAAGUAGGUAGCUUAACCGCAAGGAGGGCGCUUACCACGGUAGGAUUCGUGACUGGGGUGAAGUCGUAACAAGGUAACC